GCUAAAAUAAAAAUAAAAAAAUUAAUUUAAUAAUUAAACAUAGCAGGAGACAGUAAUUAUUUUUAAUAAUGUGUUUCACUGACUACAUUAGUUAAUAUUAAUACAUAUUCGUGAACAUGCUAGAUCUAAAGUAAACAAAUUUAAAUAUAUUUUUAAUAUAAACGAGACCUAUUUAUUAGGAUAUCUCAAAGCAUUGGGCACAAAACUCAUAAUGCAAAAUAAAACUAUUCAAAAGCAAUAUCAUCAGUUGAGUAUGCAGUCCAAAUGUAAAUGUGAAUAUAAACCUACAAAAGUUAUAAAUUGAUAUAAUUAAAUGGGAUGAUCAUAUUGAGCAACUCACGAUUUUUAACAAAGAAUACAAGUAUUUUUCGUUAAUUAUUUUUAUCAGCUAAUAUUAAGAAUUGUUUUUAAUUUUUUUAGUUUGAUGUGGAAUAAAAGUUUGUUUUUUAGUUUUUUUUAUUAACUAUAUUUAUGUAUUUUUAACUAUACUUUGUAUUUGUGCAAAGUUUUGUUCCGAUAUCUUCACUAGUGCUUACUUUAUAUAUUAUAAAGUAAACGAUUCAAAUCGACUUCAAAGCUCUGGUAUAUGGAAAGUAGGCGUGAUUAUGAACCGAUUUGGCACAUUUUCAAAACAUUUUAGUGGUAUGCCAGGAAAAUUUUAUGAACUGAAUUUCAUUAAAAUUGGUCUAGUAAGUUCGGAGAUAUCGUUUUUGACCCAUAAGUAGGCGGCCAUUUAGAAUUUGAGUGCAGCUCUUCUUUACCACCUUUACUAUGAAAUUGAAGGUUUCUAGUGUUUUUUCUUAGUGAAUUAAAGCAUUUUUAGUAGUUUUCAACAAACCUUCGUAUGGGAGGUGGGCGUGGUUAUAAUCCUAGUUCUUCCAUUUUUGAACUACAUAAGAAAAUGGCAGCUUUAGUAGUUUACGAGACAUGUACAAAAAUAUUAACAGAGGGCGAGACCACGCCCACUUUCCAAAAAAAUUUACAUCCAAAUAUCCCUCUUCUUAGUGCGAUCCUUAGUACCAAAUUUUAUUUUCAGAGCUUUAUUUAUGACUUAGUUAUGGCACUUUAUGUGUUUUGCGGCUUUCGCCAUUUUGUGGUCGGGGCAAUGGCGAUUUCGCCCAUUUUCAAUGAGCAGGGUGUUAAGGAAUAUAUGUACCAAGUUUCAUUAAGAUAUCUAAAUUUUUACUCAAGUUAUCGGUUGUACGGUUGUUUAUUGCUAUAUUUUUAUUAAGAAAACACAAUUUGACCCAUAUAUUCGGCAUAAAUAUAUAUCACAUAUUAACCGAUUAAUAAGCUAUUAAGCUCAUCGCAUUUUUGAAAAUCCUAUAAUUAGGUAUUCUCAUAAGGGAAGUUAUGACCCGAUUUUAACCAUUUCUGGUACAGAGACUCACUAUUAGAAGAAAAAUAUUUCCUCUGAAUUAAAUUAAGAUACCUGAGAGAUUUACCGAAAUUUUCGGUGAAAAGUUACCAUGGGGCACUGAGUUCUUCAUAUUUGAUAUCUGGGGCAUUGAAAAGUUAUAGUCCGAUUUCGACAAAUUUUUCACAAGUGAAGCCACAGAUCAUAUACAGUAUUUGUGCAAAGUUUUAUUUCGCUACCUUCAUAAGAAAAUAUUAUAUACCGAAUUUCAUUGAAAUCUGUCGAGUAGUUCAUGAGAUAUGGUUUUUGACCCAAAAGUGGGCGAUGCCACGCCCAUUUUCCAUUUUGUAAAAAAAUCUGAGUGCAGCUUUCUUCUGCUAUUUUUUUUUUGUAAAAUUUAGUGUUUCUGACGUUUUUCGUUAGUGAGCGAACGCACUCUUAGUAUUUUCAACCUAACCUUUGUAUGGGAUGUUUGGGACAUUGUUGAAAGAACAGAAGGCAUUGAAAUAGGAUUUUGGAAGGAGUUUGUUAAGAAAGAUGAUUGAAAGAACAGACAGUCGGUUAAGCGUAACCGGAACGGACCCGGAUUUUUAUCCGACCAAGAACUAUCAUAUCGGCAGCAUUCCUCAAAAUUAUUUGGAGAAUAUUUUAUGCCACUUCAACAACAACAGAAAUUUAUCUUAUUUCUCUAAGAUGAAGAUCAAAGGUAAUUGCUGUUACAGAAAAUUUUUGGAAACAGGAUUCCUUUUUUUUUUAUAGAAAAGCAAUUGAUCUUAUCAUGAAUGAAAGCAAUUUGUUUCGCACCCACGAAGAAAUAAGACCCUAUAUUCAACCUCUUUAUAAAGAAACAGAUUUGAAAAGCUAAGGAGUGCCUUCUGAAUUAAUUAAACGUGGAAGAAGGUUUUGAAAGUUAGUUUGUAAGCUCUUUAAGGCAAUACACAAGUACGGAAGGGCUAAGUUCGGUUGUAACCGAACAUAUUAUAUUCCCGUAAGUUAUUUACGUAUUUCUAUUAUAAUAACACACAAUUCGAUUUUCGGAAUAAAGUCCACCAAAAUAUUUAAAAGCUGAUGUAAUUCCUGGACCAUUAAUAAUGUCUAAUUUUUUUUUACAAUAAUAAUUUUUACAACAAUAGAGAAAUGGAAGCUUUUCAAUAAUCAUACACAAUCGGACUAUCUACGGCACCAAAUCUAGUCAGAGUUAAACUAUGCACAGCUUUUUUAAAACAUGCCCAUGCCAUGCAAAGCAUUUAUUCAUUACACCUUGCUUUGCCAAAAUAUGCAAUGCAUUUAAAUGACGUUUACGAAUGCCCCAUUGUCUUAUAAUCUCGACAGCGGGCAGCGAUAAUCUACAUUAUAGGACUUGAUUUGCUUUAACUUGCACAAAGUUGGUUUUGCUGCCCAAAAUUUAACGAUUUUUGCUAUUGUGAGAGCAGAGUGAUAUGCACAAAGAAGAAGAAAACAUAAACAAAUAAUUUAUGUUUUUAUUUAGCAAAUUAAAUUAUGUACAAAUAUAUUAACAAUGACUAGUUUUAAUGUUUUUAGAUGGCAGAAAGCAAACAAAAAACAGUUUCAACAACAACGAUGACCAGCAACGAAAAUGUGAUUAAAAAUUCAAUCAGCUGUCUGUUACCAUAAAAUUUCUAUAUGCGUAUUAGCAUUUCUUAAUGUCAAUUAAUUUUGCACGUCUGUCUCUGGUAUUAAACACCUGCCAAAUAGUUAAAGUAUAUUGUGAUACAAAAUUAUUUUUGAAUGGAUAAUUUGUUAUUCAGUGGGUUAGAAAAUUCUUUACUUUGGAAGAAACUUAAAAAAACUUCCAUUUUUUAUUACUUCAAAUAAAAAUAUAUUGUAUUAAUAAACACUAGUAACGAGGCCACGCAUUUCUUUUGAUCAGGUGUACGUUAAAUUACAUUCUAGAAAAUUUUUUGAUAAAAUGAAAUUAUUUAGAGUCACUAUUUAUUUCAAAAUACAUAGACAAAAAUGGUAUAGCCGGUUUCAAUUUCUGGUAACAGCGGUUGCAUGUUGAAUUUAAUUGUGUCAACAUCAAAACCCAAUUAUUAUCCAAGUGAUGAAUUGUCUGGCUCUCAAUAAUAAUAUUUGUGCUGACGGAUCAAUUUUAAUUUGUAUGUGAUUUAAGUAUUUCAACAUUUCGCGAUAAAAAUUAUUUUUUUUUAAUGCUUAAUAUAAUCGACGAAAAGAAACAUACAAGGAAAAUGUACAAAAUACUAAGAUUUUUACGAAAAACAUAUUAGGUUGGCAAAUAUCUCCCUUCGCGGCUAUGUAUAAAGCGCUACAGAGCUCGUAUCUGGCAAUACUAUACAUCUUAUCAUUAUCUACAUAUUUUACAAACGAAUAAAGGUGGAUAAAAAAGGACAUGAAUUAUAAUAAUUGUAUUCUUUUCUGUUGAUAAACCAUGGUACAUAUUUGAUCGACCAGAGUUAUUUUCUCGUAAUGCGCGAUAUAUCUGUCACAGGGUUAAUGUGCAUAUAAACAAAAUUGUGUAAAAAUUAAAAUACUUAUUUAAAGCAAAUAUUAAACGAAGUGAUAUCAAAUAAAUAUGUAGAAACAAUGUAAUGAAAUGUUAGUGUAUAAUAAAUGCAUGAUAUAAAUUAAAAAGUAACUAUUAUUUCGAGAAAUUGCAAUAUAAAGUUUGUGAAAUUCUCAACUUAAAAUGCUAAUAUCUCGAAAACUAUAAGUUUCCGGCGGCAUUUUAUUUCAACUGAAAUCGUGGGAUACUAUACUAAAGUUUCCCUAAUAAGUUAAUUAUGUUAGAAGUAUAAAUUUAUCAUUAAUAGUACGUGUAAAUUGUUAAAUAAAUAGGUAAUUAUACUCGACCAAUUUCAACAAAACUUGUAUAUUAUAAACUGCCGAAUUUAAAAUUUUAAAACUGCCUUUUUAUGGGCGGUCACCUAGGUAUGUCCCUUAAAAAUUAUUUCCGAACUUAUAAUUCCGAUUUCUUUGGCGCCGCGAUCAGAGAGUACUGUUGGAAAGAGGAAAUCCUCCGGAUGAAAAAAUAUAUGCGCCACGAUCAGAGUACUGUUGGAAAGAGGUUGGAAAGUCCUCCGGAUGAAAAAAUUUAUAAGUACCGCAAACGCACAUUUUUCAACUCAACUAUUUGAAACUAAAAUGCAGAUCAAUCAAUCAAUCAUCAACUUUCGCGGAUGACACAGCUUUAGUGAGCCGUAACAAAUGCCACAUUAUAGCAUCAAGAAUAUUAUCGGAGCACUUAAGAUCUGUCGAAGAAUGGCUAGCCAACUGGCGUAUAAAUGUGAAUGAACAAAAGUGUAAGCACGUUACAUUUUCGCUAAGACCAAAAAUGUGCCCGGCAGUAAAAAUGAACAAUAUUCUAGUGCCUCAAGUGAAUGAAGUUACCUAUCUUGGUAUUCACCUAGAUAGAAGAACAUGGAGAAAACAUAUAUCUAGUAAAAUAACGUGCAUGAAGAUAAGAGCUGCAAAUUUAAAUUGGCUUUUAAAUAAAAACUCUAAACUUAGCCUAGACAACAAAGUGCUUUUAUACAAUGCGGUCAUAAAGCCGAUUUGGAUGUAUGGCAUUCAACUGUGGGGUACGACCUGUGCAACUAAUAUUGAUAUAAUACAAAGGUUCCAAUCGAAAAUGCUUAGAUCAAUCACGUGCUCACCAUGGUACAUUCGCAAUGAAAAUAUCCAUAAAGAUCUUGGUAUCCCUAUGGUAAAGAAAGCAGUAGAGGACAGCAGAUUGAAAUAUAUAUCUAAACUCCGUGAUCACCCAAACCCAUUGGCUAAUGCCUUAGUACAUUCCUGCGGUCAAACACGCCUACAAAGAAGGGAUAUGCCUGCGUACUAAAGAGCAACGUUUCAGCAAUACAGCUCAAUCACUUGUUUGAGCUUGUCUAGUUUUUUAAAUAGUUUUAAGAUUUUAUAACUAAUUGUUAGGCUUAAAGUAAAAGCAGAUUCAAUAAAUAAAGAAAUAUUGAAAAAAAAAUUGCAGAGGCAUUGGAGCAAAUGUACAUUUUCCUUUUAUUACAGAUUUUUUAAGUAAAUUAAAUAGUAUAAUAUAUUUUAAAAAUCACUUUUCACACACAUAUUUCAUAAGAUUUAUUUAACUAUUAUGAGGAAAACGAAAAAAUAAAUAAAAUAAUCAUAUUGGCUCAACCAAGGUUUUUUGAAAGCCCGACCGAAGGCAGCCAAUUCAGAAAAAAGUUAAAAACCAAGGUAAUUUUUUGAAAGCACAGCUUAAGGCUUCCAAUGAAUAAAGUAGUUGUACGCGAAAAAACUUUAGACACUCCUGAUUUUGGCUAUACUACGGUUAUUUUUAAUGUGGAAAGAUUUGUCUUUUAUAUUUCAUGCCAAAAUAACAUUAUACGCCAAAGGGCUAUGAUUUGCGAAUAAAACAAGUAAGAAAAGGCUAACUUCGGGUGUAACCGAACAUUUUAUACUCUCGCAAUUUAUUGAAGAAAUUUUAUUAAGAUAACGCACAAAUUUACCCAUAAAUUCGGCAUAAAGUUUAAUAGAAUAACGAAAAUCGUCAUAUGUAGAUAUGAGGGCUGAGGUAAUUCUUGAAUCGAUUUCAUUCAAUUUCACCAGCAAGGGACCCUAUAUCCAAUACUGUACGCUCACUUAAUUUUGCUAAGAUAUAUCACAUAUUAACCAAUACAUAUAUGCGUAAUAAAGCUCACCGUAUUUUAAAAAAACCUAUAAUUAGGUAUAUGGGAGCUAGGAGAUGUUGUGACCCGAUUUUAAUAAUUUUUGGGACUGAGACACACUAUUGGAAGAAAACAAUUUCCUCUGAAUUACAUUAAAUUAGCUGAGAGAUUUACCCAUCUUUUCGGUUAAAAUUUAACCUUAAGCGCUGAGUUCAACAUGUUCGAUAUCAGGGGCCUUGAAAAGUUAUAGUCCGUUUUCGACAAUUUUUUCACAAGUGAUAUCUGUGGCAUCAUAUACAAUAUUUCUGUAAAGUUUUAUUUCGCUAUGUUCAUUGGUUCCUAAUGUAUAUAUUAUAAAGUGAAGGAUUCAGAUGGAAUUCAAAAUUGAGUUAUAAGGAAAGUAGUCGUGGUUGUGAAUCGAUUUUAAUUUUUUUAACCGUGUUGUCAGGGUGUCAAGAAAAUAUUAUAUACCAAUUUUCAUUGAAAUCUGUCGAGUAGUUCCUGAGAUAUGGUUUUUGACCCAUAAGUGGGCGAUGCCACGCCCAUUUUUCAUUUUGUAAAAAAAUUUGAGUGAAGCUUCCUUCUGCUAUUUCUUCUGUUAAAUUUAGUGUAUCUGACGUUUUUCGUUAGUGAGUUAACCCACUUUUGGUAAUUUUCAACCUAACUUUCGUAUGGGAGGUGGGCGGGGUUAUUAUCCGAUUUCUUUCAUUUUUGACUGUAUUAGAUAAUGACUAAAAGAAACGACUGCAGAAAGUUUGGUUUAUAUAGCUUUAUUGGUUUGCGAGUUAUAUACAAAAAACCUAUUUGGGGGCGGGGUCACGCCCACUUUUCCAAAAAAAUUACAUUCAAAUGUGCCCCUCCCUAAUGCGACCCUAUAUUCCAAAUGUUAUUUUCAUAACUUUAUUUAUGGCUUAGUUGUAGCUCUUUAUGUGUUUUUGGUUAUCGCCAUUUUGUGGGCGUGGCAGUGGUCCGAUUCCGCCCAUCUUCGAACUUAACCUUCUUAUGGUUCCAAGGAACACGUGUUCCAAGUUUCAUUAAGAUAUCUCAAUUUUUACUCAAGUUACAGCUUGCACGGACGGACAGACGGACAGACGGACGGACGGACAGACAGACAUCCGGAUUUGAACUUUACUCGUCACCCUGAUCACUUUGGUAUAUAUAACCCUAUAUCUAACUCGUUUAGUUUUAGGACUUACAAACAACCGUUAUGUUAUGUAGUCGUUGCAAAAUACUUCGGUACUUACUUGAAUUGGUUAAAAAGUGCGAAUAAUCCUCGUCUCUUAAGUUUUUUGUGCUAAGAACUACUUUAUGAAUUGACCGUCUUCAGCACUUUAAAAAAAAAAUAGCACUGGCCGAUCAAACUCCAUGGUAUCAAUAAAAGUAGUAGGUGCGGUGACGUUAAUAAGUAAGUUUCUAAGAUGUAGCGACGCUCGUUUUCUAAUUUUUAACGUACAAACAUUUUAAGGUAUUAGUGUGCUAAGUGAUUUUAAAAAUAAGUAACUUUUGCUUGAAAAAAUACAAAAAUUAAAUACAAGUAAAAUUCGAAAUAAAUUCAAUGAUGAAUGAAUUUUUCAAUAUGUGAAGUGAAGAAUGUAAGAAAAUUGUGUUAAAUAUAUAAAUAUAUUACAAUAUCAUGUGUGAGGAAUAAACAAAUUUGGACUUCCUAAAUAUAAAAAUUUAAAAAACAAUAAGUUUGAGCCACAUUAUUUACAUAUGCAUAUAUAUUCCUUAUCUAAAGAGUCUCCUCGUUCAGCCAAUAGCACAAUACGUAACCAGAAUCGCCAAAGUAAUCAGAAUCGUGCCGCAAUAUACAUACAUAUAUACUUUGCAUUUUUAAAUUCAUAUUUUUGUGACAUUUCUUUCGGCUUUAGUUUGGCAAGUUUAAUCUUGAAGAUCUCGAUUAGCGUAUAUUAACCUCGAAUUCGUGGGCUUUGUCCUGAAACUCAGCCAGAAUAUAUCCUUAAAAUACGUAAGAGUUCUACUUAGGCGGUUAUUAGGUCCAUAC